AAACAGGUUAAUAUUCCUGUACUCGGUGUUACUGCGAAGGGGGGACGGAGAAGGCUAGGCUAGCCGGGCGACGGUUGUCCCGGUUUAAGCGUGUAGGGGGAGUGACUUGGUAAAUCCGGUUACUUAUCUAACCCUGAGGCGUGAUGACGAUGCACUACGGUGCAGAAGUAGUUGAUGCCAAGCUUCCAGGAAAAGCCUCUAAGCAUCAGGUAACAUCAAAUCGUACCCCAAACCGACACAGGUGGUCAGGUAGAGA
rnacentral:rRNA from 1 species